AUUGAACGCUGGCGGCAUGCUUUACACAUGCAAGUCGAACGGUAACAGGGAGCUUGCUCCGCUGACGAGUGGCGAACGGGUGAGUAAUGCGUCGGAACGUGCCGAGUAGUGGGGGAUAACGCAUCGAAAGGUGUGCUAAUACCGCAUACGUACUGAGGUAGAAAGUGGGGGACCUUCGGGCCUCACGCUAUUCGAGCGGCCGACGUCUGAUUAGCUAGUUGGUGAGGUAAAGGCUCACCAAGGCGACGAUCAGUAGCGGGUCUGAGAGGAUGAUCCGCCACACUGGGACUGAGACACGGCCCAGACUCCUACGGGAGGCAGCAGUGGGGAAUUUUGGACAAUGGGCGCAAGCCUGAUCCAGCUAUGCCGCGUGUCUGAAGAAGGCCCUCGGGUUGUAAAGGACUUUUGUCCGGGAGCAAAUGCCUGGUGUUAAUAGCAUCGGGAGCUGAGAGUACCGGAAGAAUAAGCACCGGCUAACUACGUGCCAGCAGCCGCAGUAAGAC
rnacentral:rRNA from 1 species